rnacentral:rRNA from 1 species
AUGACACUAUUGUCCUGGAACUGUCGGGGUCUGGGCCACCCCGGAACAGUUCGAGAACUAGUGUGCCUAGUGCGCACCCACAGCCCCACUGUUGUGUUCAUCUCAGAGACGUGACAGUGUAAGGAGAGCGUGAAAAGAAUAAGAGAGAGAAUAGGUCUGGAAAAUUGUAUCACCCAUGAUGGGGUAGGCAAAGGUGCCGGCAUCGCCCUAUUUUGGGACGAUAGCAUU